GUUAAUGCGAUGAUGGAGAAAAGUAAAUCUCCCCAGCCUUUCAGGGAAAAGAAGCCGUGACUGGAAGCUUCUUUAAGGUAUGGCUGAUUGAAGUUCCCUCCGGAGUUGCUGUGCUGAAGCGAUCAGUAGGUGCAGCCGGAUGUCCCGCCGUUACAGGGGAGAGGUAUCGGAUCAUGUCCUGUACCGGUAAAGUGGCUCUUGCAAUUAGGGUGGUACCACGGAAAAUACUCUCCGUCCCUUGG
rnacentral:ncRNA from 1 species